AAUACUUUAUUUUAUGGAUCACUUUUACAGUUUGUUACUAGAGAAGUUUCUCUGAUCAUGCACAGCACCGAAACCAUGAGAAGGAGUCAGAGUAUUCUCUCCUGAGCGUGAAGCUGGGUCUAGGUGCUGCUUCUGCAACUGCCUUUGACCAUUGAUGACCGUUAUUCUCAUCUUUUGGAAGCCUGAUAGGGAGAGGAUACAGUCUGAGUGG
rnacentral:snoRNA from 1 species